ensembl:snRNA U6 U6 spliceosomal RNA
CUGCUCACCUCAGCAGCACAUAUACUAAGACUAAAAUGAUAUGGAGGAGAUUAGCAUGGCCCCUGCACAAAGAUGACGGGCAAAUGCAUAAAGCAUUUCAUGGUGUU